rnacentral:rRNA from 1 species
GGGUCCUCCGGGAGGCCUCAGUGAGGAAUAUUGGUCAAUGGCCGGCCGGCUUCCCCCUCCCAGCCGCGUGCAGGACGAAGGUGCCAAGCAUUGUAAACUUCUUUUGUCAAGGGACAAAAUCAGGCUCGAGAGCCUGACCGAGGGUACUUGAAGAAAAAGCAUCGGCUAACUCCGUGCCAGCAGCCGCGGUAAUACGGAGGAUGCGAGCGUUAUCCGGAUUUAUUGGGUUUAAAGGGUGCGUAGUCGGACUGUUAAUUCAGCGGUAAUAGCCCGGGUCUCAACCCCGGCGAGCCGUUGAAACUGGG